rnacentral:rRNA from 1 species
GGGGGAGGCUUAUACAUGCAAGUCGAGCGAAUGGAUUAAGAGCUUGCUCUUAUGAAGUUAGCGGCGGACGGGUGAGUAACACGUGGGUAACCUGCCCAUAAGACUGGGAUAACUCCGGGAAACCGGGGCUAAUACCGGAUAACAUUUUGAACCGCAUGGUUCGAAAUUGAAAGGCGGCUUCGGCUGUCACUUAUGGAUGGACCCGCGUCGCAUUAGCUAGUUGGUGAGGUAACGGCUCACCAAGGCAACGAUGCGUAGCCGACCUGAGAGGGUGAUCGGCCACACUGGGACUGAGACACGGCCCAGACUCCUACGGGAGGCAGCAGUAGGGAAUCUUCCGCAAUGGACGAAAGUCUGACGGAGCAACGCCGCGUGAGUGAUGAAGGCUUUCGGGUCGUAAAACUCUGUUGUUAGGGAAGAACAAGUGCUAGUUGAAUAAGCUGGCACCUUGACGGUACCUAACCAGAAAGCCACGGCUAACUACGUGCCAGCAGCCGCGGUAAUACGUAGGUGGCAAGCGUUAUCCGGAAUUAUUGGGCGUAAAGCGCGCGCAGGUGGUUUCUUAAGUCUGAUGUGAAAGCCCACGGCUCAACCGUGGAGGGUCAUUGGAAACUGGGAGACUUGAGUGCAGAAGAGGAAAGUGGAAUUCCAUGUGUAGCGGUGAAAUGCGUAGAGAUAUGGAGGAACACCAGUGGCGAAGGCGACUUUCUGGUCUGUAACUGACACUGAGGCGCGAAAGCGUGGGGAGCAAACAGGAUUAGAUAUUUGUGUGA